ACCUAGCCCCGAUUGUAGCGGAAAUUUUUUGAUGCAGAUGGCUAUUUUUUCUUGCUUUAAAAAAGCGACCAAAGGAAGCUCUUUUUGAAGCGUAGAAAAAAAGCCGGAUGCGGCAAAAAAUUGCAGCGGAAAGCGGGAUUAGCU
rnacentral:sRNA from 1 species